ACUUAAUUUUCCCUUUUAAUUAGAAAAGUAUUUUCCGUUGACUAAUUUUUUUGAGUGAUCUAAAUGGUAGAUAUUUUUUGUGAAAUAAAUAGAGUCUUAAAAUAUAUUAAUUAUUCAAUUUGUGGACAAGCAACUAAUAUUAUUCAGUGGUAUGGUUUUGCUUCCAAAAGUGAAACAAGUAAGAAAAUGAUUUUAGAAAGAGUUGAUAAUAAAG
rnacentral:misc_RNA from 1 species